AAGGAUAAAUAUGACCUACAUGAUUGAUUUAUAAUCUAAGAAGAUUAGAAUUGAGUUAUAGAGCUUAAGAGAGACGAGAGCAAAUAAUUGAGUUUUACACUUUAGAAUGUUAUCUUAAGGAUGUCUUGUUACAAGUAUAUGUACAUCUUUGAAGGUUUGGUUUUCAAAUGUAUUUUUGUGUAUUGGUUUCAAUAAAUUGAAAUAGUUAUACCAUCUUUGAAGGUUCCCCGUGUUUUUUACAUAUUAUGUUAGUUUGUUCAUGAAAAUAAAGUGGAGCAGGGUGUUCUAUGAGUUUGUUGGAUUAUUCUCAAAAAAAUAAUAGUGGGAUGCUAUCCCCCAUUCCCCACUAAGAUAGAUUAUGUUAGUUUUUUGUUAGCACUAUUGCACUCUUUUUUCCUUCUCCUGAUNN
rnacentral:lncRNA from 1 species